GUUCUUUCUUUUUCGCUCGGCUGUCGAAGGAGGAGGGCUUAGGAGGCCUUGUCGGUCAUGCGGCCCGGGCGGCAGCGCCAGCGGACCAGUUGCUGGGCCCUUCGAGGUGCAAUAGAAGCUGUGAGGUGAAGAUGAAUGAAUUGUUGUGAUUUCCAAAAACAUCUCAGGAUGGCUGUGAUAAAACCACUAGGAGUCUAACUGCAUGUAAUGAGCAUAUAAGUGGCUGCAGAUGAAUGUUCAGGUCCAUAACUGUUAAAAAUUCUUCAUUGCCUCAGAGGCAUGCAAUUGGAAGAAAAUGUGAAGAAUUGGUCAGGAAGACAUGAAUUGAAGCAGAUGAUGAGAAUUAAUCCUUUGAUCACCUCACAAAGUUAUGUAGAGAAAUACAUGCUUUUGAAUACUUUUAAUUGCUGGGCAGUAAAGUCUGCUAUCUUUAAAAUAUAUCAAGUGUUUAAACAUCUCCAGUUCCAUAAUCACUAGUCGGACUUGUUUUUAGCAUAUUUUAAGAUCUCUGUUCUUGUCAAUAAACAAGUAUUUGGAAUCUCUUAAA